rnacentral:rRNA from 1 species
GAUUCUGGCUCAGGAUGAACGCUAGCUACAGGCUUAACACAUGCAAGUCGAGGGGCAGCAUUGGGAUAGCUGCUAUUCAGAUGGCGACCGGCGCACGGGUGAGUAACGCGUAUCCAACCUUCCUGCCAGUAGGGAACAGCCCGGCGAAAGUCGGAUUAAUGCCCUAUGUUCUUCAAUGCGGACAUCUAAGUUGAAGGAAAGAUUCAUCGCUGGCAGAUGGGGAUGCGUCCGAUUAGCUUGCCGGCGGGGUAACGGCCCACCGGGGCGACGAUCGGUAGGGGUUCUGAGAGGAAGGUCCCCCACACUGGUACUGAGACACGGACCAGACUCCUACGGGAGGCAGCAGUGAGGAAUAUUGGUCAAUGGGCGUAAGCCUGAACCAGCCAAGUAGCGUGCAAGGAUGACGGCCCUACGGGUUGUAAACUGCUUUUAUGCGGGGAUAAAGUGCGGCACGUGUGCCGCUUUGCAGGUACCGCAUGAAUAAGGACCGGCUAAUUCCGUGCCAGCCGCGGC